AGGACGAACGCUGGCGGCGUGCUUAACACAUGCAAGUCGAGCGGAAAGGCCCUUCGGGGUACUCGAGCGGCGAACGGGUGAGUAACACGUGAGCAACCUGCCCUUAGCUCCGGGAUAGCUCCGGGAAACCGGAAUUAAUACCGGAUACGACCACGGCCGACAUCUGCUGUGGUGGAAAGGGUUCCGGCUAAGGAUGGGCUCGCGGCCUAUCAGCUAGUUGGUGGAGUAACGGCCCACCAAGGCGACGACGGGUA
rnacentral:rRNA from 1 species